GACGAACGCUGGCGGCGUGCUUAACACAUGCAAGUCGAACGGUAAGGCCCUUCGGGGUACACGAGUGGCGAACGGGUGAGUAACACGUGGGUGAUCUGCCCUGCACUUCGGGAUAAGCCUGGGAAACUGGGUCUAAUACCGGAUAGGACCCUGGGAUGCAUGUCCUGGGGUGGAAAGCUUUUGCGGUGUGGGGUGGGCCCGCGGCCUAUCAGCUUGUUGGUGGGGUGAUGGCCUACCAAGGCGACGACGGGUAGCCGGCCUAAGAGGGUGACCGGCAAGACUGGGACUGAGAUACGGCCCAGACUCCAACGGGAGGCAGCAGUGGGGAAUAUUGCACAAUGGGCGCAAGCCUGAUGCAGCGACGCCGCGUGAGGGAUGACGGCCUUCGGGUUGUAAACCUCUUUCGGCACCGACGAAGCGCAAGUGACGGUAGGUGCAGAAGAAGGACCGGCCAACUACGUGCCAGCCGCCGCGGUAA
rnacentral:rRNA from 1 species